rnacentral:sRNA from 1 species
GCCAGGCACUGUGACAGGGGUCUGCAGUCCCAGCUACGCAGGAGGCUGAGGCAUGAGGAUCACUUGAGCCAAGGGGCUUUGAGACCAGGCUGGGUGACAAAGUGAGAUAGGUCUCAA